CUGGCUGCUGCUACAGCAGACAUAGAAUCUUCCUCAUGCUCUCCGUGUGGCUGGCGUUCUCAAGCAUCCCAAAUCCAAGUGAAGGGGAAGAAGGCCACGGAUAUGUCUGCUGACCACGUGUGAAAACGAGGGGUGCUGCAAGAUUCAAUUUUCUUCCAUUCUACAGGAGGGGAGUCCUGGUGAGGACUGCAGCUAACAGCCCCAGCUCUGAGCGAACCCUUGAUCGAGACCACCAGAAAACCACUAGAUGCUGAAAUCUUAACAACAGCCUACAGAUGAAGGAAACCCACCAAGAUGGAGGGAGUGGGGGCGGGGAAGGAGUGGAAGAGUGGGGUUGUGUGCCAGAAACCAAGUAGGAUUCUGAAUUCAGCGUUUCAUAGACGCAUUAUACCUACUGCAGUGGUUCUGUACUGUUUUCAGUUCAUGCAUUCAACAGCAUCAACAAAAACCUAGUUAACACUUUCAAUGUGCCAUGCCAGGCUCUGGGGCUAUGACGACGGUAAACAACAAAAACAGCAAAUACAUGCUCCCUACUUUCAUGCGGUUUAUCGUUUAGUGGAAAAGACAUUAAUGAAAAAACACCUCUACUCAUAAAUGUACAAUUACAAACUGAGAUAACUGUCAUAAAGAAAAAAAAAAACCGCGAUUCUCUGGAAUGUUCUACAAGGAGCCUGAUGUAGGGCUAGGAGCUGGGAAAGGCUUUCUGGAGGACCGACACUAGAGCUGAGCUCUGACGCAUGAGCAGGAGAUUUCUCGGCAGAGGCAGGGGCAAGAGCAGAAGGAAAAUGAUGAGCCAGAAAAUUAUAACCCCAUUGAACUUGAAAAUCUAUGAUUUUCUACAUUGUAUCACUCAGAUGUGGCUCACAGAAUUCGAUCUGAAAACUUCCUAAAAGGCUGCUGGUGAAAUACUCUUGUAAGGUUAAGAGGUUACAGACCCAGGUGAGUAUGGAGACAGGAUUCUUCUGAUCAGUGAGCCCUGUGUCAUCAAUUCUGUCUUGUAAUAACCUUCUUUUGCAUGAACUACAAAACUGU